rnacentral:rRNA from 1 species
AUUGAACGCUGGCGGCAGGCCUAACACAUGCAAGUCGAGCGGGGUUUUCGGACCUAGCGGCGGACGGGUGAGUAAUGCGUAGGAAGCUGCCCGAUAGAGGGGGAUACCAGUUGGAAACGACUGUUCAUACCGCAUAAUGUCGACGGACCAAAGUGUGGGACCUUCGGGCCACAUGCUAUCGGAUGCGCCUACGUGGGAAUAGCUAGUCGGUGAGGUAAUGGCUCACCAAGGCGACGAUCUCUAGCUGGUUUGAGAGGAUGAUCAGCCACACUGGAACUGAGACACGGUCCAGACUCCUACGGGAGGCAGCAGUGGGGAAUAUUGGACAAUGGGCGCAAGCCUGAUCCAGCCAUGCCGCGUGUGUGGAGAAGGCCUUCGGGUUGUAAAGCACUUUCAGCGAGGAGGAAGGGAUGUAUGUGAAUAGCAUGCAUUUUUGACGUUACUCGCAGAAGAAGCACCGGCUAACUCUGUGCCAGCAGCCGCAGUAA